UGUGCCCUUCUUUUGGCAUAGAAAUGUCGCCGUUUGUCCGAAGUCCAAACUCAGGGUUUCUCGCUAUCCAAUACAAUGAUACUGGUGAUAUGGAUACACCUAGGAUGAGAACGCCUUACUUGGAGGAAGUUCGGGAUAAUACGCAAUUGGUCCCAAGAAAGACUAAAGUUAGCCCCCUGUACAGAAAGAUACUUAUGCGUUAGAGGAUUGCAAAAAGUAUUUAGAUAACUUCAGUCAGAAAAUUUCGGAUUCUGAAAAGAGGAUUGCUGAGUCUAGAAACGUUAUUGUUGAUUCAGUAAAGGUUUUUGCUGAUUUGAAAGAGAAUAGGGAAAGUUUGAUCAGACAAAAAAAAGAGAAAGAAGAAAAAAUUGAACAACUGUAUAAGAAAUUGCACAGUUUGAAAAUAAAGGAACCUUCCAGGAAAUGUACGAUCUGCAUGGACCGCGAGAAAAAUGCUGUUAUUUUACCUUGUGGCCACACGACCUGUAUGGAGUGUGCUACAAAAGUAUAUGUGAAUUCGAACAAGCGCUGUCCAAUAUGUAGGGCAGAUAUUGAAGAUAUUAACCCGUUGUAUUUCGAUUAAGAUUGAAAAAAAUAUUGAACUAAUUUUGAUGGGCAACAAAAUAGUUGAUACAUUUGAUGGAUAAACAUUAGGGUUUUUUUUUUUUUUUGUGUGAAACACAAUAAUUGCAGCUUACAGAGUUUCAAGUUUCAACUACAUACUAACUGAUAAUGACAACUAAUGUUAUAUAUCUAACAUAUAAUUCAUUAGAUCGUUGAUUAUUAGUAGUCUCAUUGACAAUCAUAUAUCAUCUUCUGUUCUAAAUAUACAAAAAAUAAAAGUAAAAUGUCUAGUAGAAGUGGGUACGGAGACAACACAUUUGCAAAUGAUGACACUCGUUGAUCGUUUUAUGUAUACAAUACGUCUUAAAAAUAAAUAAUCAGAUCUUUUAUUAUAGUUUACUAAUACGAAGGUUUUAGAUAUAAAUUCUUAAUUGAAUAAAAUAAUAAAUACUA